AGCUCAGCAGGCUGCCUCGAGCUCACGGUGAUCCUCCCGCCUCAGCCUCCAAACUGCUGGGAGUACAGGUGCGCGCCACUAUGCUGGGCUAAGGCAGUGAUUCUUCUUACAUGAUCAUACCUUCUUGCACCCCAUCUGACCCCCACACGGAGUCUGUCCCAGCCCAGCUCCCAGCCUGGGCCCUCCCACGAGGCCCACCGCACCACCUGUCCCACUGGCAACGCCCUCAAGGAAAGGUAGGGCAAGUGCGAAGCCUGCGCUCUGGCCUGGCCUUCCACCUUCAUCUACUUCCGGAUCCUCAAGCACUCAGCAGUGUCUCCUACUGGGAGGCCCCGCCCUGCGGAGCCCUGGGAACUCCAGGCCCCUGGAUAAGCAGCAUGCCAGGCGACUCGGUGCCCUGGGCCCCCUUCUCCAACUGGCCCAGCAGGAGGCCCUAGGCCCAGGUCACUUUCAGACCUUCGCUCUGCCCGUCCUCUUCAGCUGGACCCCUCAGAACCCAACUAGUUACUGCAUUUCUCCUAGAGCCGGCCCCGCCCCCAAGCACGCGUCCAGGUCCUUCCUCCAGGAAGCGUCUCCGACCAACCACUCUGGCCCACACUGCCUUCGAACUCUCCUCUUGCUCAGCUGGUCUCGGUCCCAGUAGCAAGACGACUUCCUCUGGGCAGCCACCCCUGACCUGCCAGCAUGCUCCUGCCAAAUGUCCCCAUGGGCCCAGUCCUGAUGGCACGGUAGUCAGCGGACUUCCUCCCUGGCACAGCUUUCCUGGGCCUAUGUGCCCGGGAACCAGCUCCUGAGCACUCGAGCAGGACCGGCAAGGUCCAGGCCUCCGGGAACGUUUGGGCUCUGUGGGGCGACACACCCGCACCUAAGACGCCACGGAUGCACGAUGUAGGAAGACCUCUUCGAGUUCAAGAUCAGCCUGAACUGCACAGUGAGACCCUGUCUCAAAAAGUGGGGGCGCUUCAGGGAGACCCCAAAGAUGAGUCCUGGUUAGCUGGUGGUGGGACAGGAGGAACGGGACCUGGGAAGGAGACUGCAGGCUGGGAGCGGGUGUCGGGGGAUACUGGGGCCGUGGGCCCAGGUCCAGGAAUGCUGGCUAAGGGCAAAGGGAGCCCCGGGCACCCUGGCGCUUGACCACUUCAGCAAAUGCCUGUGGCCGGGGCAACAAAGGACUUGCAGAGGUGGAGCCCGCCGGCUGGCCACGGCUGUGUCCGUAGCUGAGGGUGCAUGACUGGAUGGAGAAAGCUGCCAGUCUGAGCCGGGAACCCAGGAAGCCGCUAUGCCCCGCUCCGGUCCCCGGGAGGAGGAGACCAGCACGUCAGUUCCCAAAGCCCCCAAGUGACAAACUGGGCAGAGGGUACCAUCUGCUGCCUUCCCUACGGCAGUGCCAAGCAGAUGCCUGGGGCUGGGGCGCGAUGGGGGAGGAAGGAGCCAUCCACAUCUUGGCACCGAGGCUGAGAGGCCUGGAGGCUGGAACACCCUGCCGCUUGUGCCCGUGCAGCUGCAGGCCUCGCUCCGGCCAUCUGGAGUUCUAGGAACUGGGGGCGGGGGACCCUGAUUUCCACAGGACACCAAAUGGGGAGAAUCCUUUUCCUGCAGGUCCCCUCUGCCUGGAUCCCUGCACACCCGGGCAUCCCGGGGAAGGGGGCCGUGGGAGAGGACAGAGAAGCCGCCGCCUCUGUGUUGGCGUCUCUGGACUGUGCUGAGCUUUCCUUCGUACAGUCUCUUAUUUUAGCAAUAAAACAACCAGUCCUGGCACCCUGCACUCCCAGUGAAUUAAUCGUUUGCAUAACCAUUUGCACACGGCCCCUCCCCCAGCCUGAGAGCUGGGAGCCGGGACUGUGUGGCUGGACCCACGCAUCCUGGUCCCCGGUGUGGUCCCGGUGUGCACUGGCAUGUGGCAUCUAGCAGAACACAGGUUUGCUGCUGUGGGAAUGAUCAGCGCUGGCAGUCAGAGGUUGAGACUGCUAGCCCACUUGCUUUGACCUCCACAGCGAUGGAGAGGGAUCCAAACCUCAGGCCAGGCCAAGCUUCUUACCAGCCAGGUGCUUCUGGUCCACCCAUCCCGUGAGAAAGGGAGCGGAUAGAGAGAAGAGGGCCAGAGAAGGGACCCCUCCCUCAGUACCCGGACACCCAGCAGACAGGAGGCUGAGGGAGCCAGGCCUGGGCCUUGAGGCAGUGCCCACCCUGUGAAAUACUAACCCUCGAGGUGGGGGACCAGACAAAUUCCCUAUUUAUAGGCGCUGGCGCCUUCCCGGGACGGAGCAGAUCACAGCCCACACUGGGCCGGGCCCCGGGGCAACGCCAGGGUUCUUGGGGCAUGGAAGGUAAGGCUCUGAGACCGCCCACCUGCAGCAUCUGCAGAGACCAAUGGGCAGGAUGGGUUAAAGGCAGAAGGUGCCGAAAUGGAACAAGGGAGAAAUGCAGAGCUCCAUGAGGGGGCUGCUGGUGCCACCUCUCUUGAUAAACAACAAAUAUGAAAAAGAGUGAGACAGAGAGAACAGGCAAGGCUUUGGGGGUGCCGCGUAGGCCAGGAAUCAGCUUGGGUCCUAAUCCUGCAACCAAACUUAUUAAUGCUCGUAUGCUGAGUGCCAAGUCUAUGCUAAGAAUUCUGCUCAGUCCUUGAUACGCAUUCAUUCAUCUCAUUCUCAGGCUCCAUCAGACGCGGGAGUUCUUGGGGUUUUUUGUUUGUUUUUGAGACAGGCUCUCGCUUAUGUAGCCCAGACUGGCCUUGAACUCGUACCAGUCCUUCUGCCUCAGCCUCCCGAGCACUGGGAUCACAGCAUGACCACGCCUGGCCAGGAGUUCUUGGAAUCUACAGCGUAGGGAGGUCUGCCGCGGACCAGGUGUGAGCGAGUUCAGAUCCGGGUACUGCUCCAUUCCAGGUUCCACCAGACUCCGCGUUUGGAGCUUUCCAGGCACAAUCUCAGAGACGCCACAGAGAGCCUCCAGGGCACACGAGACGGUUCUGUUUCCAGAGGAAGAGGCUAUGGGUCGAAGUUGAGCACAGACUUGCCCAAGGGGCGCCGAGGUGCCUGACUCCACGCCUCAGCUCCACCUUCUGUACCUAAGCCUCCACUGCGUCCGCACAACUCCGCGUCCUUGGAGCCGGGCGCAGGGGACCUGGUAUGGCGGGGGAGGAUCCCACGGGCAGCUGUCAUUUAAUUCUGUCACAGGAUGGGAAGCUUCCAGAGGGAAAGAACUCUGUGUGACCCAUGAGCUGCCCUGAGAGUGAGGUGUGACAGGUUAGCUGUGGCACAGAAGCCGGAGCUCCACGAGGUCCCCAGGCAGGGUUUUCCAACCUUGUAUUUUCCGGGUCUUCCUGGUGGGGCUGCUGAGCAGGCCAUCUGAGAAUGGCAGCAGGGUGGUAAAGAAUUUCUAAGAAGAGGAGUGUCCGAAGCAUGUGCCUGUGGGGACAAUUCUGGUUGCUAAACCACCAGGUAUGACCUUGGCCUCUGAACACGUGGCCCAUCAGGGGUCUGUGAACUCAGCUCAGGGACCAAGAACAGCUGAGGUACAGAAGCCAAGCAAAAAACCUCAGGUAAGAGCAGCCCCCUUCCUAAGGGCUUCCUGAAUGCAAGAGGCUGAGGCAGGAGGAUUACUUUGAGUCUGAGGCCAGCCUGAGGUGCACAGAGAGUUCCAGGCCAGCCUGCAUGGUGGGCUGGCUUUUCAUUUCCUUUUCCUCUUUCAUGUGCCCAAGUCCAGGCCCUCAGGCAUGCUAGGUAAGUAAGUGCUCUAGCACAGAGACACAUCCUCAGGCCCUGGAGCUUUCAUGUUCAAACCCUUUGGCCCAGCUGCCCCACUAGCCAGGUGACGAGGGAGAUCCAGGGUGCAGCGCCUCAGCCACCACCAGGCGCUUCUGGUAUCCAUAGCCUCCACCUCUGGAUGGCCACAAGGGAGCACCAGUCUCACAGCUGGGCUCAACAUCCACUGCCCUUCCCCACCUGUCGCCAAGCUGUGUUAUUUUGCCUAUUUUAGAUGACGGAAGGGGGAUGUGCUGCGUCUUUUUCAAAAUUCCCCACUGCUUUCCAGGGCUGUGAAAAAACCCAGGAGCAAGCCCCACCCUCCCUGUAAGAGAUGCAACUGGAGGCGUCGGGAAGUGUCUAUCGUGCCUCCCCCAACGUUCUCCCAAAUCCUACUAUGCUUGGGGAGGCAGCCAGAGCUGGUGCUAAAGCAGAGGCUCUGUGACACACGGGGAGAGGGCUCCUCACUGCCACGCUAUUGUCACCACCGCACCCGCUGUAACUGAGCACACGCUACCCGCCAAGCACGACGCUAAGCCCUUCCGCGGAUGCUCCCGUUUCACUCAACAACCCUGUCUUACAAAUGAGAAGACCAAGGCAGGAGCAAAGGCGUCUGGCCCGCGUUGUCACACCCACGGGGUAGAGCUAGCUGACUCGAUAUUCCCACACUGCUCUAUGGCUGUCUUUGGUAGGGAUGGGAGGGUGGGGGUUGUAUUUAUUUCAUCAAUGGUUGUUACAAAGAUGGGAAAAGGGCACUUAGGACGAGAAGCCGGAACACAAUGGCCAUUUGUCAUCUAAAACAAAUCUGUAUUUUCUCCAGCCACCAGACACUCCAACAAGCAAAUUCUGAAAGGGUGGCCUUUACCCACCCCUGACCAUAUCCCUGCCCCUGACCUGCUUCUCUCUGUUAUCUGCUUCCAACUCUUCUGACUUCCUUGCCAACCAUUCCUCACCUUCUUCACCAUGCUCCAGCCCUGUGUUCUCUUGCUGAGUUUGAAAACCACUAAGCACACAACCCCAGGACCUUUGCACCUGCCAAUAAAUGCGCUGCCACCACCUUGCUGCACAGCUGGCACUUGUCUGCCACACAUCACCCUCUCCAUCCGCCUUCCGUAAAAAGGUGACCUCUGUCUCCAGCUCUCCCCCGCAGACCUUCAUGUUUUAUUUCUCCAUGACGGUUACUUCCACCCUACACCCUGCAUGUUUUAGUAUUUGCCAAAUGAAGUGAAGUGGAGGGGCAAUCUUCCCUGACAGCCACCUACUGCUCUAAGCAUGACCUCCUGCGUGCUCUUUCAAAGCCGUCUCCCCUGUCCCCAUGCUUCCUCUAACCAGCCUGCACACCGUGCGGGGAACCAGCACAUGAGAGGCUCUUCCCCUGCUUCGGUUCAUCCCCCGCCCUUAAAACCCAAUUCGCUCAGAGGCACAGGUAAGGACGGGCCGGCCCGGACAGCUCCAGUCAAACGCAGCCAAAUCAAGUUCCACCCUACCAAGGGUUACAGUUUCACUUCCAACUCACCUAUCGGGCUCCCCAGCCUUCAGGGUGCAACCCCACCCCCGCCUUUGCCACCGGCUGGCUGUCCCUGCACCUUGCCAUCCCUUUGGGGAGCCCCUCACAUCUCGAGCUCUCCCUGAGCUGCCGGGCUCUGGGGAACUUCAGCUCAUCCAACAGGCUCUUGCUAAAGUGCCCAGGUUGGGCUUGAACUUGAGAUCUUCCUGCUGUGAUGACAGGCAUGCGGUCCCUGGCUCCACCACCAUCCUUUCCUCUCUGGAUUUCGGCCGCAGUCUCCUAACAAAUGUCUCCCCAUCCGUCCACAGUCCCACCGCCCCACAGUGACUUUUCCAAAGCACAGAUCUGAUCAGGGCACCCCUCCCCUUAACAAAGAUGACAGGGACUGAUCUGUCCCUAGGUCCCUCUCCAGCCUCUGCCUUCCCUGCCGCUCCUUACCUCCUCCUUUCUUUCUCCAAUCCAGAUGAAUGGCAAAUGGUUUUUACAAUUUAAA